GAUGAACGCUGGCGGCGUGCUUAACACAUGCAAGUCGAACGGUGAAGGCGGAGCUUGCUCUGCUGGAUCAGUGGCGAACGGGUGAGUAACACGUGAGCAAUCUGCUCCUGACUCUGGGAUAAGCGCUGGAAACGGCGUCUAAUACUGGAUACGAGCUGCGAAGGCAUCUUCAGCAGCUGGAAAGAACUUCGGUCAGGGAUGAGCUCGCGGCCUAUCAGCUUGUUGGUGAGGUAACGGCUCACCAAGGCGUCGACGGGUAGCCGGCCUGAGAGGGUGACCGGUCACACUGGGACUGAGACACGGCCCAGACUCCUACGGGAGGCAGCAGUGGGGAAUAUUGCACAAUGGGCGAAAGCCUGAUGCAGCAACGCCGCGUGAGGGACGACGGCCUUCGGGUUGUAAACCUCUUUUAGCAGGGAAGAAGCGAAAGUGACGGUACCUGCAGAAAAAGCGCCGGCUAACUACGUG
rnacentral:rRNA from 1 species